rnacentral:tRNA from 4 species
CGGGAUGUAGCGCAGUUUGGUAGCGCGCUUGCUUUGGGAGCAAGAUGUCGCAGGUUCGAAUCCUGUCAUCCCGACCA